rnacentral:rRNA from 1 species
UACCAGCACCCCGAGUGGUCGGGACGUUUAUUGGGCCUAAAGCAUCCGUAGCCGGUUCUACAAGUCUUCCGUUAAAUCCACCUGCUCAACAGAUGGGCUGCGGAAGAUACUAUGGAGCUAGGAGGCGGGAGAGGCAAGCGGUACUCGAUGGGUAGGGGUAAAAUCCGUUGAUCCAUUGAAGACCACCAGUGGCGAAGGCGGCUUGCCAGAACGCGC